GCAUGCCCUUCGGGGUGAUGGGGACUCACAGGAGACCGCCGGGGUCAACUCGGAGGAAGGUGGGGACGACGUCAAGUCAUCAUGCCCCUUAUGUCUUGGGCUGCACACGUGCUACAAUGGCCGGUACAAAGAGCUGCGAUGCCGCGAGGCGGAGCGAAUCUCAAAAAGCCGGUCUCAGUUCGGAUUGGGGUCUGCAACUCGACCCCAUGAAGUCGGAGUUGCUAGUAAUCGCAGAUCAGCAUUGCUGCGGUGAAUACGUUCCCGGGCCUU
rnacentral:rRNA from 1 species